rnacentral:rRNA from 1 species
CCGGGUGCCCAUACCUGGCAGGGAAACACCCCUUCCCAUUCCGAACAGGGCCGUUAAGCCUGCCAGGGCCGAGGGUACUGGGGGCCCAGCCCCCGGGAGAGUAGGUCGGUGCCCGGA